UCAACCUGGUUGUUUUAAAUGGGCUUUACAAAUAAAGUUGGAUUGGAUUGGAUAUAUAUAGCUACAAAAAAAUAGCCAAAAAGGCAAGUUAGACAGAAGUACAAAGAGUCGUUGUGCUAUCAAGAUGAUGCACCGCGCCGUCUCGGUGCGUUGGUGUGAACUAGCAGCUUUCAGAGCGCUGCAGACCGGAGCGUUGGGAGUAACUGGGGGAUUCAUCUCGUCUCGUCGCUACUCUUUGGUCUGAACUCGCUAUGCACCCCCCCGCCCCACAAACACACACACCGAUACACACGCUAAUGGUGAAAGGAAGCUUGAUUACACCUAGUGUGAUACAGAGUGAAAUUAUGAGAUGGAUAUUGGAAGAUAUUUCAGCAGAGAGAGAGAGAAGCAGGAGAUUGGCAGAGCAGUUGAUCCUGAUUGAGGAUGGGGGCUGCUACUACUACUGCUGCUAGUCAAGGUAUCCCUAGUACUUCUCUACAACAAGUCGGUCGAUGGGCAUUCUCUGCCUCCUCAGCAAACAUUCAUCCUGAUGUUAAUGACGUCCUCGCAGACCAGAGAGCAAUUAAAGCAUCAAUUCAGUUGUCAUUUCAGGCUAUGAGUGUGACCCUCCUCCUCCCCUCCACCUCCAGUCAUCUUCACCCCCGCUACCCUGGGUCUUCCUCCAGCGGACCGAUCCCAGUGACGCCUUUGUUUGGUUUUUGUGCUCCUUCUCCACCACCACCAGGGUCUAGACUCCAUCGGGGGAGAUGUUUCUCUAACCCUUUAUAUUUGAUACGAUGGAGUCUAAGUUCUGUACUAAGUACAAUUUUAGGUACUUAUAUUUUACUUGAGUAUUCAUUGGGGGAGGAUUCAUUGCAGAGCUUGUGUACUGCAUGCCUUUUAGCCAGCUGUUCCUAAUACACUGGCAACCCAAUGUUUCUCUUCACUGUCUGCUUUCACGGAGAGUAUCUCUGUGGACUGUUUCUUACCUACAGGCCAUUAGGGUCGGGCAUCGUUCUGAUUCCAACUAUUCUGAUUCUUCCUUUUGAUUCCGAUUCUCUGAGGGGUGGAGUUAAAACGGGUCACAUGCUUAUUUCACAGAUAAGAGGAACAUUUUAUUUUGAUUCAAUGGUGAUGUACAGAUUUACCUGGCUUUUUCUACAUAAAAUAAAGCUUUAGAGCGUGGCUUACUGUGCUCCACGGCAACACAACAAGCCUGGUAAUAUGGUGGCUGCCGUGGAACCCAAAAUGUGGGCACGUUAAAUUUGGAACAGAUGAUCGGAUAACAGAUGAUCGGUAAACCAAAUCUUUUGAUUUUCCAAACGAUCCCAAUAAAGAAAGGAUUCCAUUGCAAUCGUCAUUUUUGAAACGAUUCCAAGUUGGAACCGGUUCUCGAUGCCCAACCCUCCAGGCCAACAGCUCCUGCUGUCUGCCAAUACACAUCAAUAAAGUCAUUGAUUACUUAAUGCCCCUUUUGGAAACUGAGUGACGAGGAAGAGGUUUCUAAAAACAGAGAGAGACAGACAGAGACAGACAGGAAGCCCAGAGAGAGGAUCCCAGGCGGCUGUUUAUUAUUUGGAAGCUACAGUUUAGGUGUGCAACUGUAAAACAAUACAUGAGUCAGGGUGAGAUCUCAGUGCUGCUCCCGACCAUUGCUUUAACAAAACAGUAGAAAUUGAUAACAUUCCAGUAGAAAAAGAAAGAAAGAAGCUUUACCUAGAGGGCCCCGUUUAUUAAAAUCAUCCAAACUGUAAACAGCGAAUUGGAGCUAAAGGCUGAGAUUGAUGAAAAAUGAAUCCCGGUGUGACGUUCCUGCAGGUUGUGUCAAUUUUGUGUCAAACAAUAAAAAAAGAAAAAAUGCUAUCACGAUCCGGGAAAUGACUUCCAUUUGUUUAAGUGUCAUCUUCAAUGCAAUAUGCAGAAUUGAAUAAAGCCGAGGGAUAAUCUGAAUAAAUGAGGCCCCUCGUGGUGCACGCCCGUCCCCAGAGAGGUGGUGUCAGUCGGUCGGCACGACGCAGAAGGACUGCACAUCAUCGGCACUCUGAGGAGGGCGUGGUGCAGUCAGAGGAGAGGGGGAAGAUCCAGAGGAGAAGAAAGAGGAGAGGAAACAAGAUGCUGAAAGAGAGAGGAGACGGGAUACAAGAGAGAAGAGUUCUUACCUAAAUGUAAGGAAGCAAA